rnacentral:rRNA from 1 species
ACGUAGGGAGCAAGCGUUGUCCGGAUUUACUGGGUGUAAAGGGUGCGUAGGCGGAUUGGCAAGUCAGAAGUGAAAUCAAUGGGCUUAACCCAUGAACUGCUUUUGAAACUGUUAGUCUUGAGUGAAGUAGAGGUAGGCGGAAUUCCCGGUGUAGCGGUAAAAUCCGUAGAGAUCGGGAGGAACACCGGUGGCGAAGGCGGCCUACUGGGGUAUAACUGACGCUGAGGCGCGAAAGUGUGGGUAGCAAACAG